rnacentral:rRNA from 1 species
UACGUAGGGGGCAAGCGUUGUCCGGAAUUAUUGGGCGUAAAGAGCGUGUAGGCGGUCCGGUAAGUCAGCUGUGAAAGUCAAGGGCUCAACCCUUGAAAGCCGGUUGAUACUGUCGGGCUAGAGUCCGGAAGAGGCGAGUGGAACUCCUGGUGUAGCGGUGGAAUGCGCAGAUAUCAGGAAGAACACCAACGGCGAAGGCAGCUCGCUGGGACGGUACUGACGCUGAGGCGCGAAAGCGUGGGGAGCAAACAGG